rnacentral:lncRNA from 1 species
AUUUUUUUUUUUUUUUUUUAAAAAAGAAGGUUUGAGAAGGUCUCUUGAACGAAAAAUUCUAGAAUGCAACGGAUAUAUUAGUGACGUGGCGUAACAAACCAAUCAAAUUAAUUUUUUUAAAAAUAUAUGUCCCAUCAUGAUUGUAAAAAAGUAUUUUUAUUGUACUUUUAUUUGAAAAGAAGGAAUGUGAUUGGCUUGUUAUUGAUGACGUGGUGCAAGUGUGACAGUGUAGAAUUCCUCCUCUUGAACAUAAGUACGAAUUAAAAAGAGUAAAAAUUAGAAAAAAAAUAUACAAAAUUUAUUUAAAAUAUGAAUUAUUUUAAUUUGACUAUUUAAAUUUUUAAAAUUCUUAUUUUACAAUCAAAUUUUUCCAUUUGUUUCAUUUGAGUCGGUUGACAAUAUUUUAACUUCAGUAUUUAAAUGCAUAGUUUUAUUUACUGAUUUAAUUAGUGCACUUUCUAUAAUUCUCACAAAGAUAAAUUUAUUAAAAAGAUAAUUAAUCU